ACUAGCUACCUGAAAUCACAAGUAUCAGUGUCACUUGUGAUGUCGUAAGGGAAAAUAAUGAUACUACCUUACUAAUAGUGUCGUCCAAAGCUGGUGCCAGAAGACUCGGUAAAGCCAGAGACGCAAACGUUAAUCAUCUUAAACAGGCGUAAAGGGUAAGUAGGCUGCUUUAAAAGUAUUAAACUUUAAAUAGUUCAAAUAUGCCGUAAGGAAUCAUAAUAUUUGUAAAGUAAAAUAUGAAUUAAGGCUAGAAUCAAGAAGGGGUUGAGCCAUAUAAUACUUAGAGGAGGUUUUAAAUCUUUAGAUCCUAGGUGGAAUACUAACGGCGAAAGCUUUUCAUCCAAGUAAUGAUUGACGCUGAGGAACGAAGGGGAGGGCAGGAAACAGGAUUAGAUACCCCAGUACUCCUCUCAGUCAACGAUGAAUGGUAGUCAUUAGUUUUAUAAACUAUAUGAUCAAUGCUAACGCGAGAAACCAUUCCGCCUUGUAACUACGACUGCAAUGUUAAAAACAAAAAAAUUAGUCGGUCUCGAGCAACGA
rnacentral:rRNA from 1 species